rnacentral:rRNA from 1 species
GAGUUUGAUCCUGGCUCAGAUUGAACGCUGGCGGCAUGCCUUACACAUGCAAGGCGAACGGCAGCACGGGAGCAAUCCUGGUGGCGAGUGGCGAACGGGUGAGUAAUAUAUCGGAACGUGUCCAUGAGUGGGGGAUAGCCCGGCGAAAGCCGGAUUAAUACCGCAUAAGACCUGAGGGUGAAAGCGGGGGAUCUUCGGACCUCGCGCUGAUGGAGCGGCCGGUACCAGAUUAGGUAGUUGGUGAGGUAAAGGCUCACCAAGCCUGCGAUCUGUAGCUGG